GAGGCAUUGGUCUUCCCAGGGAAGACAAGAUGUGUGCCAUGGCAGUCUCAUAUGAGGGAAAAUCAGUCUUCAUGAAUCAAGUCAGUAAAGAGGAAGGUGGAAAGAAGGAAGCUGCAUUUUAUUUCAUAUUUAACAGCAGGAUUGCUGAAAACAUAAAUAUUUUAAUUUUUAGGCACACAUUUUAAAGAAAAAAAGUAGUUAAUCUCCCGAGGAAACAAGAAAUAUUCUGUAUGGGUUUUCCCUCUUCAUUCUCUUUGCCCUUCCUGUCAAGGAACUGCAUACCAACCUGCUUCUGGCCCAUUGUGCCCUCAUCCCUCCUGACUAUACUCUCAUUUUUAUGACCCAAACAGCAGUCCCAAAAGCUCCUUUCUCAGGGGCUUGUGACAUGUAUCUGGGCUGUGACUCACCUGCAGCACUCCGGGCAUCGUGUUGGUUGGUGACAGUAAGGACACCCUGUCUUACAGCAAGCAGAGCCUAACUGAGGAACUCGUGAUGUGAGCCCUAGGCAGGAGCUGGACGUGGGCAGCAGCAGCAGGAGCAGCCUGGUGUGGAGCUUCCUGGAGAACACCCACAGUUUUACAAAGCAAUAGCACACCUCAGAAGAGAUGCUUGAUGCUGUGGUCUUGCUGAGCCCUUGCCGACCCUUGGCAGCGAGGCUGUGCCGAGCAGGAGGAUUGCAGUGAACCUCUUCCCAUGCCCCAAAUGCUGAGUGUGGCAAAACCCUCUGGGAGGGUAACACAGUGGGUGAUUGAUUGUACCCGCCAGCUGGCUAAUAUCAUAAUUAACAAAGUUGCUACCAUGUCUGAGAAGUUUAAUCGAAAAAAUUGCCGGCAGUAUGAUGCCAUUGUCACAGAGAUCACAAGCGCAGCAGUGUUGACUUUUGUACUGGUGGAGCCGCAGGACUAUGUAGAUGUGCUGAAAAGUCGUUCGCUGGGAUAA
rnacentral:lncRNA from 1 species